CAGGCAAAUCCGGAAAAUCAAGGCUGAGGCGUGAUGACGAGGCACUACGGUGCUGAAGCAACAAAUGCCCUGCUUCCAGGAAAAGCCUCUAAGCAUCAGGUAACAUCAAAUCGUACCCCAAACCGACACAGGUGGUCAGGUAGAGAAUACCAAGGCGCUUGAGAGAACUCGGGUGAAGGAACUAGGCAAAAUGGUGCCGUAACUUCGGGAGAAGGCACGCUGAUAUGUAGGUGAAGCGACUUGCUCGUGGAGCUGAAAUCAGUCGAAGAUACCAGCUGGCUGCAACUGUUUAUUAAAAACACAGCACUGUGCAAACACGAAAGUGGACGUAUACGGUGUGACGCCUGCCCGGUGCCGGAAGGUUAAUUGAUGGGGUUAGCGGUAACGCGAAGCUCUUGAUCGAAGCCCCGGUAAACGGCGGCCGUAACUAUAACGGUCCUAAGGUAGCGAAAUUCCUUGUCGGGUAAGUUCCGACCUGCACGAAUGGCGUAAUGAUGGCCAGGCUGUCUCCACCCGAGACUCAGUGAAAUUGAACUCGCUGUGAAGAUGCAGUGUACCCGCGGCAAGACGGAAAGACCCCGUGAACCUUUACUAUAGCUUGACACUGAACAUUGAGCCUUGAUGUGUAGGAUAGGUGGGAGGCUUUGAAGUGUGGACGCCAGUCUGCAUGGAGCCGACCUUGAAAUACCACCCUUUAAUGUUUGAUGUUCUAACGUUGGCCCGUUAUCCGGGUUGCGGACAGUGUCUGGUGGGUAGUUUGACUGGGGCGGUCUCCUCCUAAAGAGUAACGGAGGAGCACGAAGGUUGGCUAAUCCUGGUCGGACAUCAGGAGGUUAGUGCAAUGGCAUAAGCCAGCUUGACUGCGAGCGUGACGGCGCGAGCAGGUGCGAAAGCAGGUCAUAGUGAUCCGGUGGUUCUGAAUGGAAGGGCCAUCGCUCAACGGAUAAAAGGUACUCCGGGGAUAACAGGCUGAUACCGCCCAAGAGUUCAUAUCGACGGCGGUGUUUGGCACCUCGAUGUCGGCUCAUCACAUCCUGGGGCUGAAGUAGGUCCCAAGGGUAUGGCUGUUCGCCAUUUAAAGUGGUACGCGAGCUGGGUUUAGAACGUCGUGAGACAGUUCGGUCCCUAUCUGCCGUGGGCGCUGGAGAACUGAGGGGGGCUGCUCCUAGUACGAGAGGACCGGAGUGGACGCAUCACUGGUGUUCGGGUUGUCAUGCCAAUGGCACUGCCCGGUAGCUAAAUGCGGAAGAGAUAAGUGCUGAAAGCAUCUAAGCACGAAACUUGCCCCG
rnacentral:rRNA from 1 species